GACGAACGCUGGCGGCGUGCCUAAUGCAUGCAAGUCGCACGCGGCACCUUCGGGUGCUGAGUGGCGAACGGCUGAGGAACACGUGGGGACCUGUCCGGGAGUGGGGGACAACACCGCGAAAGCGGUGCUAAUCCCGCAUACGCUCUGAGGAGGAAAGCCGAAAGGCGCUCCCGGGUGGCCCUGCGGCCCAUCAGGUUGUUGGUGGGGUAACGGCCUACCAAGCCAAUGACGGGUCGCUGGUCUGUGAGGACGACCAGCCAGACUGGGACUGGGACACGGCCCAGACUCCUACGGGAGGCAGCAGCAAGGAAUUUUCGGCAAUGGGCGCAAGCCUGACCGAGCAACGCCGCGUGCAGGAUGACGGCCUUCGGGUUGUAAACUGCUUUUGCUAGGGAUGAUACGGACAGUACCUGGCGAAUAAGCCCCGGCUAACUCUGUGCCAGCAGCCGCGGUAAGAC
rnacentral:rRNA from 1 species